GACGAACGCUGGCGGCGUGCUAAACACAUGCAAGUCGAACGGUGAAAGGGAGCUUGCUCCCUGGAUCAGUGGCGAACGGGUGAGUAACACGUGGGCAACCUGCCCCAGACUUCGGGAUAACGCUUCGAAAGAGGUGCUAAUACCGGAUACGAACUCCUUGGGCAUCCUUGGAGUUGGAAAGUUUUUCGGUCUGGGAUGGGCCCGCGGCCUAUCAGCUUGUUGGUGAGGUAACGGCUCACCAAGGCGACGACGGGUAGCCGGCCUGAGAGGGCGACCGGCCACACUGGGACUGAGACACGGCCCAGACUCCUACGGGAGGCAGCAGUGGGGAAUAUUGCGCAAUGGGCGAAAGCCUGACGCAGCAACGCCGCGUGAGGGAUGACGGCCUUCGGGUUGUAAACCUCUUUCAGCAGGGAAGAAGCGAAAGUGACGGUACCUGCAGAAGAAGCACCGGCUAACUACGUGCCAGCAGCCGCCGUAA
rnacentral:rRNA from 1 species